UCCUCGGUAGUAUAGUGGUGAGUAGGUGAGUAUUUCACGCGGGCGACCCGGGUUCGAUUCCCGGCCGGGGAG
rnacentral:tRNA from 1 species